rnacentral:misc_RNA from 1 species
AACGCAUAUUGCGCCCUCUAGUAUUCUAGGAGGCAUGCCUGUUCGAGCGUCAUUUCAACCCUCAGGCACAGCCUGGUGUUGGGGCUCUGCGCCUGCAGUUCCCGAAAUACAGUGGCGGCCCUUCUAAAAGCCCUGCGUAGUACUACUUCUCGCUUGGUAUUUUAGGCGGUCCAGCCUUCCUUACUCUUUUAUAAAGUUGACCUCGGAUCAGGUAGGAAUACCCGCUGAACUUAA